rnacentral:rRNA from 1 species
GGGCCUUCGGAAGGAAGUGCUUACUGCAUUUUUUCUUACACAUGUGUUUUUCUUUUUUUGAAAACUUUGCUUUGGUAGGCCUUCUAUAUGGGGCCUGCCAGAGAUUAAACUCAACCAAAUUUUAUUUAAUGUCAACCGAUUAUUUAAUAGUCAAAACUUUCAACAACGGAUCUCUUGGUUCUCGCAUCGAUGAAGAACGCAGCGAAAUGCGAUAAGUAAUAUGAAUUGCAGAUAUUCGUGAAUCAUCGAAUCUUUGAACGCACAUUGCGCCCUUUGGUAUUCCAAAGGGCAUGCCUGUUUGAGCGUCAUUUCUCCCUCAAACCCUCGGGUUUGGUGUUGAGCGAUACGCUGGGUUUGCUUGAAAGAAAGGCGGAGUAUAAACUAAUGGAUAGGUUUUUUCCACUCAUUGGUACAAACUCCAAAACUUCUUCCAAAUUCGACCUCAAAUCAGGUAGGACUACCCGCUGAACUUAAGCAUAUCAAUAAGCGGAGGAA